rnacentral:pre_miRNA from 1 species
AUCACCUGGAAAUCUUGUUAGAAUGCAGAUUCUCAUUCAGUAGGUCUGGGAUGAGGCCUGAGAUUCUGCAUUUAUAACCAGCUUCCAGGUGAUGCUGA